rnacentral:rRNA from 1 species
CCUACGGGUGGCAGCAGUGGGGGAUAUUGCACAAUGGGGGGAACCCUGAUGCAGCGACGCCGCGUGGGUGAAGAAGCGCCUCGGCGCGUAAAGCCCUGUCAGCAGGGAAGAAAAUGACGGUACCUGAAGAAGAAGCCCCGGCUAACUACGUGCCAGCAGCCGCGGUAAUACGUAGGGGGCAAGCGUUAUCCGGAUUUACUGGGUGUAAAGGGGGCGCAGACGGCGAUGCAAGCCAGGAGUGAAAGCCCGGGGCCCAACCCCGGGACUGCUCUUGGAACUGCGUGGCUGGAGUGCAGGAGGGGCAGGCGGAAUUCGGGGUGGAGCGGUGAAAUGCGUAGAGAGCGGGAGGAACGCGGGGGGCGAGGGGGGCAUGAUG